rnacentral:lncRNA from 1 species
CAGAAGUUAGUCAUGUAGGUUCUCUGUGUAACUGAUAGAAUGUCAAAACUAAGAAGCUCUGAACUUAAGUAGUUUCUUCGGGCAACCUAUGCAACACAUGUACAACACACACAGUGAACACUCAUCUCUUCGCAUGAAAACCAAAUACAUCCCAGUGCAAAAAUCUUUUUUUUUGGAGGUACAGAAGAUAGUUAGGACCCUUCCAGAGAUAGAUGUUGCUUUCUUUAUGCUUGCAUUUUGCUUGUAUCCUUCACUAAUCGUUAGUAAAAUUUGCUAUUAAGUAAAGUACAAUGUUCACUUUGGCAGCACAUAUACUAAAAUUGGAACAAUACAGAGAAGAUUAGCAUGGCCUCUGCACAAGGAUGACACACUAUUAAGUAAAGUGCAUAAUUUCUAGGGCCCUGCUUUGACAAUUUGAGCUCUGUGGAUAGACUGUAAAGGACUUUUAAUCAGAGCUAUGCCAUUCAACCAGAUUUUAGUGUUUCUGAAAUUGCUAUGCUUAUGCUCAGCUUCUCAUUAUUAUCUUAUUUCUUAAAAUUUUCAAUUAUUUCAAGUUUUUAAAUUUUCUUGUUCUUGUUUUUUCAGCUAAUUUGAUUGCUUGGAGUAAUCAUUAAUUUUGAUAAAAUUAUUCAUAAAAUCAUUGUAUUCUUUCCAAGUUGUAGAGGAGAUUACAGUCCUCCUGUUUGGUUCAUCAUAUUCAAAAUGCUCAAACUAGAACCAAAACACUUGAUUUCUUAGUUGAGCUGCUUGUUCCCUUCUCAUUUCACAGGAAUAGAAAGUUCCUCACAUGUUCUCAUCAAGACCAGUAAUGCCAAAGCGGUCCAUCUGGUAUGUAAAGCUGCAAGGUGUUAUCUGGAGCCUAAGGCAAUCUGGAAACCUCUAAGCACAUAAUUAAAAGCCACAUUCUGAAAAUGACAGAACACAUGAGAAAAGUCUAUUCUCCAAUAAAUCUUCAGUCCUGGAAACUGAACUCAAAAAGACUGUGCUCUGUUCCAUCCUCAACUCCAGGCUCAACCAGAAAAAGGGGACAACUAUUUCUGUUUCAGAACAGACACUUAGACCCACUGGUCAUGGGUUUCAAUCUUGUGGGUUUCACUGUGGAGAGUGCUGGUCCAGUCUAGCCAACUCAGGUAGGUCUGAAAUUCUGGAGAGAACACAACCAUAGCCUUUUUUGUUUGUUUUGUAAUCUUAUAUAAUCCAAGAAACCUCUGAUAGAAACCAAUGGAAAGGAGAUUGUAAGUUUACCUAUGUAAGUGGAAAUGCUAAAAAGGAGGAAUAUGGGAAUAUCCAACAAAAACAGAUAUUAAAGCAGGUUUUUAAAUACUGUCAUUGAUUCGUAACUGUAAUUAAUAAUAUGAAGAUCCUUUUGCAAGAGACCAGAACCUCAGUACACUAUUAACUACUACUAAAAAAUACAAAGUAGGUUGCACCUUCAUAUUCUGUUCUCUUACUGACUGAAAUACU